UACAGAGGGGGCAAGCGUUGUUCGGAAUUACUGGGCGUAAAGGGCUCGUAGGCGGUUUGUCGCGUCGGGAGUGAAAACCCCGGGCUUAACUCGGUGCUUGCUUUCGAUACGGGCAGACUAGAGGUAUGCAGGGGAGAACGGAAUUCCUGGUGUAGCGGUGAAAUGCGCAGAUAUCAGGAGGAACACCGGUGGCGAAGGCGGUUCUCUGGGCAUUACCUGACGCUGAGGAGCGAAAGUGUGGGGAGCGAACAGG
rnacentral:rRNA from 1 species